CACGUAGGGAGCAAGCGUUGUCCGGAUUUAUUGGGCGUAAAGAGCUCGUAGGCGGCUCAGUAAGUCAGGUGUGAAACCUCCAGGCUCAACCUGGAGACGCCACCUGAUACUGCUGUGGCUUGAGUCCGGUAGGGGAGCGUGGAAUUCCUGGUGUAGCGGUGAAAUGCGCAGAUAUCAGGAGGAACACCGGUGGCGAAGGCGGGUCUCUGGGCCGAUACUGACGCUGAGGAGCGAAAGCGUGGGGAGCGAACAGG
rnacentral:rRNA from 1 species